AUCUUUCAGCUCAUAAGCAUGAUGACCGCGUGUCCACACCAUACGACGCCUGAGCUGUGCCUCCCUCAGACCAUGUUACAACGUGGGCACCUUAACUGUGUGACG